AUACUUUCCUGCCAGGGAAGAUACCAUGAUCAUGAAGGUGGUUUUCCCAAGAUGAGGUUUAUCCAUUGUAUGUCAGAUAUGCUGACCCUUCAAUUUUCCCAAUGUGGGAAAUUCGAAUACAUAAUUUGUGGUAGUGGGGGACUGCAUUUACGCUUUCCCCAG
rnacentral:snRNA from 1 species